AGAUGUUAUUUUGAAUGAGCCAGUAGAAAAGUGGCCUUUAUGCGACUGUCUCAUUUCUUUUCAUUCUAAAGGAUUUCCACUGGACAAAGCAGUUGCCUAUGCAAAACUCAGGAAUCCAUUCAUAAUCAAUGACUUGAAUAUGCAGUAUCACAUACAAGACAGGAGAGAAGUUUAUGGUAUUCUUAAAGCUGAAGGCAUUUUACUUCCUCGCUAUGCAGUUCUGAACCGUGAUCCAAACAAUCCCCAAGAAUGUAACUUGAUUGAAGGAGAAGAUCAUGUGGAAGUGAAUGGAGAAGUUUUCCAAAAGCCUUUUGUAGAAAAGCCCGUUAGUGCUGAGG